rnacentral:rRNA from 1 species
UACGGGGGGGGCAAGCGUUGUUCGGAAUUACUGGGCGUAAAGGGCUCGUAGGCGGCCAACUAAGUCAGACGUGAAAUCCCUCGGCUUAACCGGGGAACUGCGUCUGAGACUGGCCGGCUUGAGUGCAGGAGAGGAACGCGGAAUUCCAGGUGUAGCGGUGAAAUGCGUAGAUAUCUGGAGGAACACCGGUGGCGAAGGCGGCAUCCUGGACCGACACUGACGCUGAGGAGCGAAAGCGUGGGUAGCGAACAGG